rnacentral:rRNA from 1 species
GACGAUCGCUGGCGGCGUGCCUAAUACAUGCAAGUCGAGCGAGACUCUUCGGAGUCUAGCGGCGGACGGGUGAGUAACACGUGGGCAACCUGCCUGUAAGACUGGGAUAACACCGGGAAACCGGUGCUAAUACCGGAUAAUCCUUUUCCUCUCAUGGGGAAAAGCUGAAAGUCGGUUUCGGCUGACACUUACAGAUGGGCCCGCGGCGCAUUAGCUAGUUGGUGAGGUAACGGCUCACCAAGGCGACGAUGCGUAGCCGACCUGAGAGGGUGAUCGGCCACACUGGGACUGAGACACGGCCCAGACUCCUACGGGAGGCAGCAGUAGGGAAUCUUCCACAAUGGACGAAAGUCUGAUGGAGCAACGCCGCGUGAGCGAUGAAGGCCUUCGGGUCGUAAAGCUCUGUUGUUAGGGAAGAACAAGUACCGGAGUAACUGCCGGUACCUUGACGGUACCUAACCAGAAAGCCACGGCUAACUACGUGCCAGCAGCCGCAGUAA